GUUGACUGAACUUUCCAAAUUUUUUAAUUGAAUUUAUACCAGGAUUAUGUUAUUCAUCAAAUUUUCGUAUCGACUUUUUAUGGGCGCUUUUAGUGCCAACUCGGAAAAUUCAAUGCUGAGCAACAUGAGUAAUAUAUCCUUGCAUACGAAGCAUGUCACAGAUAUCCAUAAGAUAGCAAUACGAUCAACUACAAAAAUUAAAGAAAAUCAAUGAGGAGCAAAAGGCAAAAAUUAAUGAGAAAAUUGAUGAGUUAUAUGAAGAGAUUGAGGAGAUCUCGACAGAGAUUGAGAAAAUGAAAGAUGAUAAAUGAAUGGAAGUUCGACUCAAGCCUAACUAGACAUUUUUUUUUUAAAUUAGAAUGCUGCCUGUGUUCAAGGCGCUUGAGUCCGUUCGGUUUGUCAAACCGAUCUUUGAUGCAAUUCCACAGGGCUCGAUUUUUAUCAUGUCUCGUCAUUAUACCAAGGAGAUUUAUGAGAGAGCCCGUGCCGUAGAGAAUGCGCAUUUUCUAAAAAUUCAAAAUGAGCAGCUCAGAAAUCUGCGGAACAAAAUUGCUAGAGAAAGAGGCCUGCGGGAGCAUAAAGUGGAAGCCAGUUUGCAAAUGAAGAGCCAAAAGACGGACAGCAAUCGGAAUUUGCAUCAGACUCAAAGUGUGAUAACCCAGCAAGCAGAUAAUUAAAAUGAUGUUUUUGUGAUAAAUUAGUAAAAUGAUUGUGGUAACGGGGCCAAGUCGCCGACUCGAUCAGUAGGCUGAUGCAUAUCUGCUAAUCUUUUGAUUGAACUACUUAUUUAUUAUUAUUAUUUUUUUUUUUUUUGGAACAAAAUUCAAAAUUCUUCAUUGCAUUAACAUGUGGAUCUGCGUUCAGCACAGAGGUGCGGUAAGGAAUAUCAUCAGGUUGCUGCAAAGGACAUAUCGACAGAGCCGCAUAACCGAAGAAGAAAAGGCGAAAAUUACCAAAGCAAAGAUCUCGGCUAUGUGGAGCAAACAAGUUGAGAAUUUAUUGCGGAAACGUGAAAUGUUGUCCCUCAUCAGGGAAUAUAUUGUGCUGCAGGAGCGCUAUGUGAGCUCAAGAUUGACAACGAACAAGCGGCUGCUCGCCCAUGCAAAAUACUUACAAGUCACCAGGAAAAGAUCUCCACUGUAGACAGAUAUAUAUGCUAGCCAUUGAAAUGGGAUAUGCCACGUUGCUUUACAGGAAGCGUUACAUAACAGAGGUAAACAAAAUAAAAAUAAAAACAGAAAAAUAAUGCUGC
rnacentral:misc_RNA from 1 species